UCCGUAGGUGAACCUGCGGAAGGAUCAUUAUCGUGGGGCUUCGGCCCCGUCGAGAUAACACCCUUGCCUUUACAGUACCGCCCGUUUCCUCGGCAGCCUCGGCUGCCAAUGGGGACCCCAAAAAACACUUUGCAGUACCUGUAACAGUCUGAACAAACAAACAAAAAUUAAAACUUUCAACAACGGAUCUCUUGGUUCUGGCAUCGAUGAAGAACGCAGCGAAAUGCGAUAAGUAGUGUGAAUUGCAGAAUUCAGUGAAUCAUCGAAUCUUUGAACGCACCUUGCACUCCUUGGUAUUCCGAGGAGUAUGCCUGUUUGAGUGUCUGUAAAUCAUCAAUCCAUCUUCACUUUGUUGUGGAGUUUGGAUUGGACUUGGGGAUUGCUGUCCUUUACAGGUUGGCUUCCCUUAAAGAUAUUAGUUGGACUGAGUUGCAAUGCUACGUGUAGUGUGAUAAUAUCUUCACUGCAUAGUUGUAAUGAAGUUUAGCUUCUAACCGUCCUUUACUGGACACUACUUGACCAUUAGACCUCAAAUCAGGUAGGACUACCCGGCUGAACUUAAGGCAUAUCAAUAAGGGGGGGAGGGAAGGUCGGACUGGCCAAGGGCACACAGGGGGGGAUA
rnacentral:rRNA from 1 species